rnacentral:rRNA from 1 species
AUUGAACGCUGGCGGCAUGCUUUACACAUGCAAGUCGAACGGUAACAGGCCUUCGGGUGCUGACGAGUGGCGCACGGGUGAGUAAUGCAUCGGAACGUACCCAGAGGUGGGGGAUAACGCAGCGAAAGCUGUGCUAAUACCGCAUGUGAUCUGAGGAUGAAAGCGGGGGACCGAGCAGCAAUGUUUGGCCUCGCGCCUUUGGAGCGGCCGAUGUCGGAUUAGCUAGUUGGUGGGGUAAAGGCCUACCAAGGCGACGAUCCGUAGCUGGUCUGAGAGGACGACCAGCCACACUGGGACUGAGACACGGCCCAGACUCCUACGGGAGGCAGCAGUGGGGAAUUUUGGGCAAUGGGCGCAAGCCUGAUCCAGCAAUGCCGCGUGCGGGAAGAAGGCCUUCGGGUUGUAAACCGCUUUUGGCAGGAACGAAACGGUGUCCGCUAAUACCGGGCGCUAAUGACGGUACCUGCAGAAUAAGCACCGGCUAACUACGUG